rnacentral:rRNA from 1 species
CCUACGGGAGGCAGCAGUGAGGAAUAUUGGUCAAUGGACGAGAGUCUGAACCAGCCAAGUAGCGUGAAGGAUGACUGCCCUAUGGGUUGUAAACUUCUUUUAUAAAGGAAUAAAACGAGGCACGUGUGCCUUUUUGCAUGUACGUUAUGAAUAAGGAUCGGCUAACUCCGUGCCAGCAGCCGCGGUAAUACGGAGGAGCCGAGCGUUAUCCGGAUUUAUUGGGUUUACAGGGAGCGUAGAUGGGUUGUUAAGUCAGUUGUGAAAGUUUUCGGCUCAACCGUAAAAGUGCAAUUGAUACUGGCAGUCUUGAGUACAGUUGAGGUAGGCUGAAUUCGUUGUGUAGCGG